rnacentral:rRNA from 1 species
GACGAACGCUGGCGGCGUGCCUAAUACAUGCAAGUCGAACGAAGCUGUUUUAACUGGUGCUUGCACCGACUUAAACAACUGAGUGGCGAACGGGUGAGUAACACGUGGGUAACCUGCCCCAAAGCGGGGGAUAACAUUUGGAAACAGAUGCUAAUACCGCAUAACCACAGAAACCACAUGGUUUCUGUGUCAAAGAUGGUUUCAGCUAUCACUUUGGGAUGGACCCGCGGCGUAUUAGCUAGUUGGUAAGGUAAUGGAUUACCAAGGCAAUGAUACGUAGCCGAACUGAGAGGCUGAUCGGCCACAUUGGGACUGAGACACGGCCCAAACUCCUACGGGAGGCAGCAGUAGGGAAUCUUCCACAAUGGACGAAAGUCUGAUGGAGCAACGCCGCGUGAGUGAAGAAGGUUUUCGGAUCGUAAAACUCUGUUGUCAGAGAAGAACGUGUGCGAGAGUAACUGCUCGUGCAGUGACGGUAUCUGGCCAGAAAGCCACGGCUAACUACGUGCCAGCCGCCGCCGUAA